UGACCGCUGGCGGCGUGCCUCCUACAUGCAAGUCGAGCGACCAGACGCGGAGCUUGCUCCUCUGACGUUAGCGGCGGACGGGUGAGUAACACGUGGAUAACCUACCUAUAAGACUGGGAUAACUUCGGGAAACCGGAGCUAAUACCGGAUAAUAUAUUGAACCGCAUGGUUCAAUAGUGAAAGACGGUUUUGCUGUCACUUAUAGAUGGAUCCGCGCCGCAUUAGCUAGUUGGUAAGGUAACGGCUUACCAAGGCAACGAUGCGUAGCCGACCUGAGAGGGUGAUCGGCCACACUGGAACUGAGACACGGUCCAGACUCCUACGGGAGGCAGCAGUAGGGAAUCUUCCGCAAUGGGCGAAAGCCUGACGGAGCAACGCCGCGUGAGUGAUGAAGGUCUUCGGAUCGUAAAACUCUGUUAUUAGGGAAGAACAAAUGUGUAAGUAACUAUGCACGUCUUGACGGUACCUAAUCAGAAAGCCACGGCUAACUACGUG
rnacentral:rRNA from 1 species